GCCCGGGUGGUGGAAUCGGUAGACACAAGGGAUUUAAAAUCCCUCGGCGUUCGCGCUGUGCGGGUUCAAGUCCCGCCCCGGGUA
rfam:Kluyvera intermedia strain CAV1151, complete genome.